rnacentral:lncRNA from 12 species
GGCUUCUGGAAGCUGGGGGCCGCAUUCAUGGUUACAGGAGCCCUGGCCUCCUAAGAACCCUCGGCGACGCUUUGGGAGGACUUGGGGCCACAUGGACACAACAGGACGCUGACUUCCUCAGGACCCCUGGUGUAGACUUGGGGAAAUAUGUGGAUACGUCCAUGUGGACAGAAGACCCCAGCCUUGUCAGGGCCUGUGGUGAGGUUAAGAAAAAUCUGGGUGCCGCAUCCACAGUGACAGGAGUCUCCAGCCUCCUCAGGACCCACUGUGAAGGACCUGCACUUUGGCUUCGGGACAUAAGGGGCUGUGUGUAUGCUGACAGGAGCCCACAGCCUCCUCAGGACCUGCGGUGAGUUUUCUGGGGGAUGUGGGGCCUUGUCCAGGGUGACAGGAGCCCCCGGCCUCCUGAGGACCUGCUGUGAGGCUUCCAGAGGAUGUGAGGCAUAGUCCACAGUGACAGGAGACCCAGCGUCCUCAGGACCCGCUGACUAUGACUAAGGAACACGUGGGGCCACGUCGCACUCACAGGAGCCUGGCUUCCUCAGGAUCCCUUGGAGGAAUCUGGAGGAGCUGUUGGGGGCCACUUCCACAUCAGAAGGGACUCCUCAGAACCACAGGGACCCGCGGUGAGGCUUCUGGAAGAUGUGGGCCCGCAUACACCCUGAUAGGAGACCCUGGGCUGCCUAAGGACUCGCGGGGAGGCUUCAAGAUAUUGUGGGCCCGCAUCCACGCUGACAGGAGACCCUGGGCCACCUCAGGACCUGCGGGGAGGCUUCAGGAAGAUGUGGCACUGCGUCCACGCUGACAAGAGCACUUGGCCGCCUCAGGACCCACGUGGAGGCUUCAGGAAAUUGUGGGCCCACAUCCAGGCUGACAGGAGCCCCUGGGCCGCAUCAGGACCCGCAGGGAGGCUUCAGGAAGAUGUGGCACUGCGUCCACUCUGGCAGGAACUCCCAGGCCCCUCAGGAUAUAAGUUGAGGCUUCUGGAAGCUGGGGGCCACAUUCAGGAUGACAGGAGCCGCAGCCUCCUAGAUCCAUCGGUGACAAUUCGGGAGUAUGUGUGGUAACGUCCACACAACAGGACGCUGACUUCCUCAGGACCCCUGGUGUAGUCUUCGGGAAAUAUGGGGAUGCGUCCAUGCGGACAGAAGAGCCCAGCCUUGUCAGGGCCUCUGGUGAGGCCUAAGAAAGAUGUGGGUGCUGCAUCCACACUGACAGGAAUCUCUGGCCUCCUCAGGAUGCACUGUGAAGUUUUGGGAAUAUUUGGGGCCACGUCCAUGCUGACAGGAGCCCCCAGCCUCCUCAGAGCUUAUGGUGAGGCUUGAGGAAAAUGUGGGUCCACCUCAACACUGACAAGACCCCCGUUGUCCUCAGGACCUGCACUUUGGCUUUGGGAUAUAUGAGGCUGGGUCUUUGCUGACAGGAGCCCACAGCCUCCUCAGGACCCACGGUGAGUGUUCUGGGUGGUGUGGGGCCAUGUCCAGGCUGACAGAAGCCCGCGGCCUCCUGAGGACCUGCUGCGAGGCUUCCAGAGGAUGUGAAGCAUAGUCCACAGUGACAGGAGACCCGGCAUCUUCAGGACCCACUGACUAUGGCUCAGGAACAUGUGGGGCCACGUGCACACUCACAGGAGCCCGGUUUCCUCAGGACCCCCUGGAGGACUCUGGAGGUGCCAUUGGGGGCCACGUCCAUAUCAGAAGGGACUCCUCAGAAUCACAGAGUAAGUGAAUGGGUAGAAUGAAUGGUUGGGUCAAAGGAGGGG